rnacentral:rRNA from 1 species
GAUGAACGCUGGCGGCGUGCCUAAUACAUGCAAGUCGAGCGAACAGACGAGGAGCUUGCUCCUCUGACGUUAGCGGCGGACGGGUGAGUAACACGUGGAUAACCUACCUAUAAGACUGGGAUAACUUCGGGAAACCGGAGCUAAUACCGGAUAAUAUAUUGAACCGCAUGGUUCAAUAGUGAAAGACGGUUUUGCUGUCACUUAUAGAUGGAUCCGCGCCGCAUUAGCUAGUUGGUAAGGUAACGGCUUACCAAGGCAACGAUGCGUGGCCGACCUGAGGGGGUGAUCGGCCACACUGGAACUGAGACACGGUCCAGACUCCUACGGGAGGCAGCAGUAGGGAAUCGUCCGCAAUGGGCGAAAGCCUGACGGAGCAACGCCGCGUGAGUGAUGAAGGUCUUCGGAUCGUAAAACUCUGUUAUUAGGGAAGAACAAAUGUGUAAGUAACUAUGCACGUCUUGACGGUACCUAAUCAGAAAGCCACGGCUAACUACGUG